GCGGCCCGGGAGGCGGAGGCGCGGGGGAGGAGGCCCCGCUCGGCUCCGCAGUCCCGGAUGCUGUAUGACUUCAUCCUUCCGCCGGCUCCCCUGCUGAGCUAGGGCCGGUCCGGCAGCUAGCCUCUGCCCGUGCCCCGCCGCAGUCCCUAGCCCGCCCGGUGCCCGCCAUGUCCGAGAUCCUACCCUACGGCGAGGACAAGAUGGGCCGCUUCGGCGCAGACCCCGAGGGUUCCGACCUCUCUUUCAGCUGCCGCCUGCAGGACACCAACUCCUUCUUCGCUGGCAACCAGGCCAAGCGGCCCCCCAAGCUGGGCCAGAUCGGCCGAGCCAAGAGAG
rnacentral:lncRNA from 1 species